rnacentral:misc_RNA from 1 species
AAAAUAAUCCUACCCUUUGUGAAUUUGUUUGUUUGAAUAAUUUUUUUUUUUAAAAAAUUAUUGGAGUCUUUCCCUUUAGAGUUUGCUUUUGAGUUUGUAAAAGAAUUCGAAAACAUCUAAAGGGGAUGGUCAAUAAUUUUUUUUGAAAAAGACAUUUUUUAAAAUUAAACUUUUUGUAUUCAUCUGUCUAAAAAUUAUUUUUAUAAUAUAAAAACAACUUUUGACAAUGGAUCUCUUGGUUCUCGCAACGAUGAAGAACGCAGCAAAAUGCGAUAAGUAGUGUGAAUUGCAGAAUACGUGAAUCAUCGAAUCUUUGAACGCAUAUUGCACUUUUUUAGUUUACUAAAAAAGUAUGUCUGUUUGAGUAUCAGUAAAAUAUUCUCAUAAAAAUCAUUGUGUAUUUUUAUGGUUAUGAGUGUUUUACAACGAUACAAGUUGUUUCACUUUAAAUUUUUUUUUAAUAUUGAAAUUUUUCUAAUUUUAAUAAUUAAAAUUGGAUAAAAUUUUCCCGUCAAAAGGAAUAACCUAAACAAUUUUAAAUGAUUAAUUUUAGCAAAAUUUUCGAAAAAAGGAAAAUUUUUAUUAAAAUAACUUGAUCUCAAAUCAGAUAAGAGUACCCGCUGAACUUAAGCAUAUCAAUAAGCGGAGGAAAAGAAACUAACAAGGAUUCCCUUAGUAACGGCGAGUGAAGCGGGAAGAGCUCAAAUUUGAAAUCUUCAAGGUUUUACCUUGACGAAUUGUAGUUUAAAGAAGUGUUUUCUGCUGAAGUUUUGGUAAAAGUUCUUUGGAAUAGGACAUCAUAGAGGGUGAGAAUCCCGUAUUUGACCAUUAUUUCAGCUUUGUGAUACACUUUCAAAGAGUCGGAUUGUUUGGGAAUGCAGUCCAAAAUGGGUGGUAAAUUUCAUCUAAAGCUAAAUAUUGGCGAGAGACCGAUAGCGAACAAGUACCGUGAGGGAAAGAUGAAAAGAACUUUGAAAAGAGAGUUAAACAGUACGUGAAAUUGUCAAAAGGGAAGCGUUUGACACCAGUGUUGUUUUCUCGAAAAUCAAUUAAAAAUGGCUCGAUUUUGUAUUGCUGAGACCUUAAAAGCUCACUGUACAUUUUUUCGUGUCUUUUUUAAUGCACUUUUCGUUUAACAAGUCAACAUCAGUUUCUUUUGUUGUAAAAGGGUCAUUGGAAGGUGGCUUUCUUUUCGGAGAAAGUGUUUAUAGCCUUUGGCCUCUGCAAUCGAAGAGACUGAGGUCUGCAGCGUAGACUCUUCGGGUUAGAUACAUUUGUGCUAAGUUAUAGCUUUUUAUAGACAACUUGUUGACUAUAAUUAGUCUUGUAGCUUACUCGCUUAUGCUAUUU